UUUGCAUUGGUGGAGUAAUACUAAAUCAAUAUUACCUGCAAGCAUCGUACUUGUACUCUUCAAGUGCAUUGAGUCCCCUAUUCAAGGUCACUCAACUGUAACCUAUGAUUGGCUUAAGUUUUGCAGUGUUUAACAAAUAAUACACAUGCGGUUCGCCAAUGAGCGCUACGUGUUCGGGCAGGUAGUCAAUAUUUCUACUUUGACUGUCAGCCAAUGGUAAAUGUUUGAAAUAAACUGGCGGUUUGCAAAACAAAAGGAAAUAGGAGGAGCGUGUUAAGUACCUUAACAGCUUUGCAUGCUCAACGCUGUUCUAAAGGCAACACAAGCUUCAAGCGCUGCAACUGUGCCACUAUAAACUGAUUGACUGACUAUGCAACAAGUUCACGCUUAAUGUUAUUUAUAAGUCGGUAUUAUGCAAACAACGCCAUUUGCACAAAAUAGCAUCAAGUGUUCUAAGCGGCAGCGUGCAUAAGAAAUACCAAAGCAAUUACUGCCACAAUUUUGUAAAUACUUAAAAUGAAACAAAGUGCAUUUCUGCAUAUAAAUAGCGCACUGAAUUCCGCCUACGCCCUUGAACCUGUGCAGUUGUUUGUACACGACAACAUGUGUACUUACGCAUACCCUUAAACGUUGCAACGCUCAAACCUACAUGCGCUUGCAGGCAAACAACAAGAACACCAGCAAAACGAAAAAGGUAAGCAACAACAAAAUUUACUAUGUUAUGCCUACGAGCGAAAAUUCUCAAUUUCCACAGCUACUUUUGUCCUUUUGCGCUUUGACAGCUUUUUACAGCAAGCCGACAAAGCAUGUUAACUAACUAAAUGCACUCGCUCAUAGACAAACAAGCAUAUAUGUAUGAGUGUGUUUGCUUGCCGCUAUGUGCCAGA
rnacentral:lncRNA from 1 species